rnacentral:rRNA from 1 species
GGCGGCGUGCCUAACACAUGCAAGUCGUACGAGAAAGUUGGCUUCGGCCGAUGAGUAAAGUGGCGCACGGGUGAGUAAUGCGUGGAUAAUCUGCCCUUUAAGUUGGGAAUAACGUACCGAAAGGUGCGCUAAUACCUGAUAAUACUGCAUAACUACUGUUGUGUAGUCAAAGAAGGCCUCUGUUUACAAGCUUUUGCUGAAGGAUGAGUCCGCGUACCAUUAGCUGGUUGGUGGGGUAAUGGCCUACCAAGGCUACGAUGGUUAGCUGGUCUGAGAGGAUGAUCAGCCACACUGGAACUGAGACACGGUCCAGACUCCUACGGGAGGCAGCAGUGAGGAAUAUUGCGCAAUGGGGGCAACCCUGACGCAGCAACGCCGCGUGAGUGAGGAAGGUUUUCGGACCGUAAAGCUCUGUCGAGCGGGAAGAAAUGUAUCAUGGCUAAUAUCCAUGAUACUUGACGGUACCGCUAAAGGAAGCACCGGCUAACUCCGUG